ensembl:lncRNA
GUGAGUAACGUUAACUGUUAAUAUAAUUUUAUGAUGUAUAUGACUGUUAUAACAUUAAGUAAUGUGUACUGAAACGUUAAUUAAAUCGUAAAACUAUUUAAAAAACGAAGUUUUAAUUCCCUUUAGUCAGUUUUUUUCUUCCCCAGAGAAUCAGAUCGAUUGUAAAUGAAUAUGCUAUUCCCGUUUGCUUGCUAGCAUUAAUAAAUAAAAACAUUAUCUGAAAGACUAGCAAAACUGUUUAGAGAAGUAUUACUUAACGUUAAUAAAAAUGUCUGGUGAAAUGUGAAAGGUCGCCGAAAUCUUUAGGCUAUAAAAGCCGCACGGACCAUUUAUCGGAUCGGACCAGUGAAUGAAGCUGCUCGAGCGAGCCGAGCUCACACAUCAGUCAUACGACAGACGCAGAUUCAAUAAAUGGAUUUCUUUGUAAAGGAAAGAUUACAACAGUGGAACCUCUGCAAUUUAAUAGAAACAUUUCAAGGUUGGUACUAAUAUGGUGCACUACCUCAAUAAUGAGACAAGCCAGGAUCCACAUGUCUUGGUGCUUGGAGACAAAGAAAAUUCCUCCCAAGUUUUUAUCAUUUUCAUUGGAGAGGCAGUUGAAAAGGAGACCUUACUUCAAGCAGUGAACGUAUGCUUCAAAAUGUUCUACAUCUAUGACAUAAACUACCCAAAGCCCUCUCCUCCAAUUUGGGAGUUCUUGCAGCAUGCAGUCUAUAAUAUUCCUGGAGGAGUUCCUUUUGCACAUUGCUGCCUCCUAAAAAACUUUGUAUUCAAAGUUACUGAUCAUCAGUAGAUCCAGUAGCCAAAACACAAAUUAAAGGGUUAGUUCACACAAAAAUGAAAAUUCUGUCAUUAAUUACUCACCCUCAUGUUGUUCCAAACCCAAGACCUCCGUUCAUCUUUGGAACACAAAUUAAGAUAUUUUUGCAUUCUGACAGCUCUCUGACCCUCCCAUAGACAGC